rnacentral:rRNA from 1 species
CCUACGGGAGGCAGCAGUGAGGAAUAUUGGUCAAUGGCCGGAAGGCUGAACCAGCCAUGCCGCGUGAAGGUCAGUGCCCUAUGGGCGUUAAACUUCUUUUGUGCGGGAGCAAUAAUGGUCACGUGUGGCCAGACGAGAGUACCGUACGAAUAAGCAUCGGCUAACUCCGUGCCAGCAGCCGCGGUAAUACGGGGGAUGCAAGCGUUAUCCGGAUUUAUUGGGUUUAAAGGGUGCGUAGGCUGGGAGGUAAGUCAGCGGUGAAAUGCCCCCGCUCAACGGGGUGAAGUGCCAUUGAUACUGGCUGGCUGGAAUGCGGAUGCGGUGGGAGGAAGGUGUGGUGUAGCGGUGAAAUGCAUAGAUAUCACACAGAACACCGAUUGCGAAGGCAUCUCACGAAUCCGCGAUUGACGCUGAUGCACGAAAGCGUGGGUAUCAAACAGGAUUAGAUACCCUAGUAGUC